AAUAAAAAGCAGAGAAAACUCUCUGCUUUUUUGCCUUGUUUUAAAGGGGAGUUUAAAAAACUCCCCUUUUACAUUUAAGCCGGUGA
rnacentral:sRNA from 1 species